GAUGAAGAACGCAGCGAAAUGCGAUAAGUAAUGUGAAUUGCAGAAUUCAGUGAAUCAUCGAAUCUUUGAACGCACAUUGCGCCCCCUGGUAUUCCGGGGGGCAUGCCUGUUCGAGCGUCAUUUCACCACUCAAGCCUCGCUUGGUAUUGGGCAACGCGGUCCGCCGCGUGCCUCAAAUCGACCGGCUGGGUCUUCUGUCCCCUAAGCGUUGUGGAAACUAUCCGCUAAAGGGUGUUCGGGAGGCUACGCCGUAAAACAACCCCAUUUCUAAGGUUGACCUCGGAUCAGGUAGGGAUACCCGCUGAACUUAAGCAUAUCAAUAAGCGGAGGA
rnacentral:misc_RNA from 1 species